rnacentral:rRNA from 1 species
GAUGAACGCUGGCGGCGUGCUUAACACAUGCAAGUCGAACGGAAAGGCGCCUGCUUGCCGGCUCACUCGAUUGGCGAACGGGGGAGUGACACAUGGGGGUUCUGCACUUCACUUCGGGAUAAACCUGCGAGACUGGGUCUAAUACCGGGUAUGACGAUUGUUUCGAUACGAUUGUGGAAAGUUGGUCGGUGUGGGAUGCGCUCGCGGCCUAUCAGCUAGUUAGUGGGGUAGUGGCCGACGAAGGCGUUGACCGGUAGCCGGCCUGAGAGGGUGUACGCCCACAUUGCGCCUGCGAGAGGGCGCAGACUGCUACGGGAGGCAGUAGUGGGGAAUCUUGCGCAAUGGGCGCAAGCCUGAUGCAGCGACCCUGGGAGCGUGAUGCUGUGUUACGGGUGGUAAACACAUGUCGAUAGGGCCGAAGAGCAAGUGACGGUACCUGGAGAAGAAGCACCGGCUAACUACGUG